rnacentral:rRNA from 1 species
GGGCGUUAAGUUGCAGGGUAUAGACCCGAAACCCGGUGAUCUAGCCAUGGGCAGGUUGAAGGUUGGGUAACACUAACUGGAGGACCGAACCGACUAAUGUUGAAAAAUUAGCGGAUGACCUGUGGCUGGGGGUGAAAGGCCAAUCAAACCGGGAGAUAGCUGGUUCUCCCCGAAAGCUAUUUAGGUAGCGCCUCGUGAAUUCAUCUCCGGGGGUAGAGCACUGUUUCGGCUAGGGGGCCAUCCCGGCUUACCAACCCGAUGCAAACUGCGAAUACCGGAGAAUGUUAUCACGGGAGACACACGGCGGGUGCUAACGUCCGUCGUGAAGAGGGAAACAACCCAGACCGCCAGCUAAGGUCCCAAAGUCAUGGUUAAGUGGGAAACGAUGUGGGAAGGCCCAGACAGCCAGGAUGUUGGCUUAGAAGCAGCCAUCAUUUAAAGAAAGCGUAAUAGCUCACUGGUCGAGUCGGCCUGCGCGGAAGAUGUAACGGGGCUAAACCAUGCACCGAAGCUGCGGCAGCGAACGUAUCACUUAAAGCGAUUCAGCGGGUUACGAUUGACGGAGCGAAGCGACGUCAAAGCGUAUACAAAGUCGAGUCGGUUUAAGGAUACGUUCGUUGGGUAGGGGAGCGUUCUGUAAGCCUGCGAAGGUGGCCUGUGAGGGUUGCUGGAGGUAUCAGAAGUGCGAAUGCUGACAUAAGUAACGAUAAAGCGGGUGAAAAGCCCGCUCGCCGGAAGACCAAGGGUUCCUGUCCAACGUUAAUCGGGGCAGGGUGAGUCGACCCCUAAGGCGAGGCCGAAAGGCGUAGUCGAUGGGAAACGGGUUAAUAUUCCCGUA